rnacentral:rRNA from 1 species
GUACCUACGGGACGCAGCAGUAGGGAAUCUUCCACAAUGGACGAAAGUCUGAUGGAGCAACGCCGCGUGAGUGAAGAAGGUCUUCGGAUCGUAAAACCCUGUUGUUAGAGAAGAAAGUGCGUGAGAGUAACUGUUCACGUUUCGACGGUAUCUAACCAGAAAGCCACGGCUAACUACGUGCCAGCAGCCGCGGUAAUACGUAGGUGGCAAGCGUUAUCCGGAUUUAUUGGGCGUAACGGGAACGCAGGCGGUCUUUUAAGCCUGAUGUGAAAGCCUUGAGCUUAACCGGAGGAGUGGAUUGGGAA